UACGAAGGGGGCUAGCGUUGCUCGGAAUUACUGGGCGUAAAGCGCACGUAGGCGGAUUGUUAAGUCGGGGGUGAAAUCCUGGAGCUCAACUCCAGAACUGCCUUUGAUACUGGCGAUCUCGAGUUCGGGAGAGGUGAGUGGAACUGCGAGUGUAGAGGUGAAAUUCGUAGAUAUUCGCAAGAACACCAGUGGCGAAGGCGGCUCACUGGCCCGAUACUGACGCUGAGGUGCGAAAGCGUGGGGAGCAAACAGG
rnacentral:rRNA from 1 species